AGUUGCGGAGAAACUAUCAUUGGUAGUUUUUUGUAGCUGUUCCCCUCUGGAGGUUUGACGACCUUCACACUUGAAGCAUCCGUUCGCGGGUGCUUUUU
rnacentral:sRNA from 17 species